GCUUGGAACCCUUCCCUGAUUGCCUACCUAGCACUGCUCUCGAGUACUUGUCUCCCACUGCCGUUGUACUUCCAAAAAAGCUGUCACAUCUGCCUGGAGAACAUAUAAGGCAAGUGAAAAUGAUACCUUGCAGCAUGUGGAGACAAGGUGCAGAAGGAACAAGCAGAGAAGAAUGCAGUCUGCACAGUCAACUCAGCAGAAGGAGUCCGAGCUGAAGAACUCGAGAAGCUGCCAUAUCUGCCUGAAGAAACAAGCAGAGAAGAAUGCAGCAUGCACAGUCAACUCAGCAGAAAGAGUCCGAGAUAAAGAACUCGAGAAAAUGUCGCAUCUGCCUGAGGACAGUGAACUUGUUUUGACCCUCAAAUUCUUGGGUCGACUUACUAGGCAUUGUGGGCUGCACGUGCCGAUUCACCACCCUUAAAUCAAAUCCUUAAAGAUCAAGUCACCAACUGGAAGAAGAACCCAUCAAUCUUGAAGAUCAUACCGUUGACCAAACUACUCAGGUGUGAAUUAGAAAGAUUGAACAAAACAACAAGUCGUCACCUUCACCUCGUGCCUGCUUGCCAUAUGUUCGAGUCAACCUUCAAGAAUCAAGCCUCAACGGCCCUUGAAGAAGCUUUCAGCCAAAUUCAAAAUCAAGCCUCGACGGCCCUGGAAGAAAUCACAAGUCUGAUUCAAGAUCAAGUGUCUACCACCCUUGAAUCAAAACCUAGUUCAAGAAUAAGCUGUGGAAAAUCAACAAUUGGAGGAAUCCAGAAAAUCCUCCAACCCAGUUCAAGAUCAAAGUUGUGGAAAGUCAACAAGCGCAACAAAAUACGUGCCGAUUCAUCCACUACCAAAGCCAAAGAUCAUCUACCACAUUAAGCUCCCUAUGGCCCAAUUUCAACCUUCAAGAUCAAGUCUCGACGACCCUUGAAGAAAUUUCAAACAAAGUUCAAGAUCAAGCCUCAACAACCCUUGAAGAAAUCUCCAGCCCAAUUCAAGAUCAAGCCU
rnacentral:lncRNA from 1 species